rnacentral:rRNA from 1 species
GGCCACCGCUAUUGGAAUUCGAUUAAGACAUGCGAGUCGAGAGGUAACUCGGCGGACCGCUCAGUAACACGCGGAUAACAUGCCCUAAGGUGGAGGAUAAUCUCGGGAAACUGAGAAUAAUACUCCAUAGAUCUAGAAUGCUGGAAUGCUUUUAGGUCGAAAACUCCGGUGCCUUAGGAUUGGUCUGCGGCGUAUCAGGUUGUAGUGGGUGUAACGGACCCACUAGCCGAUGACGCGUAUGGGCCUUGAGAGAGGAAGCCCAGAGAUGGACUCUGAGACAUGAGUCCAGGCCCUACGGGGCGCAGCAGUCGCGAAAACUUCACAAUGGGGGCAACCCCGAUGAGGGAAUUCCAAGUGCUAGCACUUUGUGUUAGCUGUUCUUUUGUCUAAAAAACAAGAGAAGUAAGGGCCGGGUAAGACGGGUGCCAGCCGCCGCGGUAAUACCCGCGGCCCGAGUGGUGGUCGAUAUUAUUGAGCCUAAAACGUUCGUAGCCGGUCUUGUAAAUCCUUGGGUAAAUCGGCCAGCUUAACUGUCCGAAGUCCGGGGAGACUGCAAGACUUGGGAUCGGGAGAGGUCAGGGGUACUUCUGGGGUAGGGGUAAAAUCCUGUAAUCCU